GACAGUUUGCCCGAGUGGUUAAGGGGUUGGACUUGAAAUCCAAUGAGCUUUGCUUGCGCA
rnacentral:tRNA from 1 species